rnacentral:rRNA from 1 species
GGGUGCGAUCAUACCAGCGUUAAUGCACGGGAUCCCAUCAGAACUACGCAGUUAAGCGCGCUUGGGCUAGAGUAGUACUGGGAUGGGUGACCUCUCGGGAAGUCCACUGUUGCACCCU